AUUGAACGCUGGCGGCAUGCCUUACACAUGCAAGUCGAACGGCAGCGCGGGAGCAAUCCUGGCGGCGAGUGGCGAACGGGUGAGUAAUAUAUCGGAACGUGCCCAGUAGUGGGGGAUAGCCCGGCGAAAGCCGGAUUAAUACCGCAUACGACCUACGGGUGAAAGGGGGGGAUCGCAAGACCUCUCGCUAUUGGAGCGGCCGAUAUCAGAUUAGGUAGUUGGUGGGGUAAAGGCCUACCAAGCCUGCGAUCUGUAGUUGGUCUGAGAGGACGACCAGCCACACUGGGACUGAGACACGGCCCAGACUCCUACGGGAGGGAGCAGUGGGGAAUUUUGGACAAUGGGCGCAAGCCUGAUCCAGCAAUGCCGCGUGCAGGAAGAAGGCCUUCGGGUUGUAAACUGCUUUUGUCAGGGAAGAAAUCCUCUGGGUUAAUACCUCGGGGGGAUGACGGUACCUGAAGAAUAAGCACCGGCUAACUACGUGCCAGCAGCCGCCGUAACAC
rnacentral:rRNA from 1 species